rnacentral:rRNA from 1 species
AGUGAACGCUGGCGGUAGGCCUAACACAUGCAAGUCGAACGGCAGCACAGUAAGAGCUUGCUCUUACGGGUGGCGAGUGGCGGACGGGCGAGGAAUACAUCGGAAUCUACUUUUUCGUGGGGGAUAACGUAGGGAAACUUACGCUAAUACCGCAUACGACCUACGGGUGAAAGCAGGGGAUCUUCGGACCUUGCGCGACUGAAUGAGCCGAUGUCGGAUUAGCUAGUUGGCGGGGUAAAGGCCCACCAAGGCGACGAUCCGUAGCUGGUCUGAGAGGAUGAUCAGCCACACUGGAACUGAGACACGGUCCAGACUCCUACGGGAGGCAGCAGUGGGGAAUAUUGGACAAUGGGCGCAAGCCUGAUCCAGCCAUACCGCGUGGGUGAAGAAGGCCUUCGGGUUGUAAAGCCCUUUUGUUGGGAAAGAAAAGCAGCAGGUUAAUACCCCGCUGUUCUGACGGUACCCAAAGAAUAAGCACCGGCUAACUUCGUG